CACUCAACGUGCUAUUAGACUUGCCGGUGGAGAGUGACAGGCAGGCUCUGGAGAAGCACCGGCGCCUGCAGAUCAGAACAAGGAGCAAGUGUGCGUUCUGCUAAGUGUUCUGAGCCACCUUCCCUAGUGUUUUUAGAGCAAUAGAAGUUCGAGGUACGGACGCUGAGACAGUACAGUUAAGCAGCUUGCCCUGGGCCGUCAAAGUGCAAAAGUAACCCUUGGACUCUUCAGGCUGAGCAGUUGGGUUGAGUACUCCAACUAAGAGGAGGAGGACAGCAUGCUGGGGAAGACUCUGCCAGAGGAAAGUGGAAAGCCUGUUUCUUCUGGUUGCAGCAUAUGUGGGAGAAAGAAUGCUGGCAUGAGGCUGCCACUUCGGUUGGCUCUUUGUCAACACUGAGGGUCAUGGUUGACACAGGUGGAUAGUUAGAGUUCAACUUGAACGUUGUAUGAAUAUGUCUAAGAAGCAGAGGUUAACUGUCAUUUGCUAAAGACAGCAUCCAAUUAACAACUGGACGAGGACUGGGCUAAGUACAUUGGAAGGGAACUCUGUUCUCUGGGAAAGGUGAAGAGACAGAGUUAUUUCUUGGGCAGUUUAUAGAGAGAAAUUUCCGGAGGACCUGAGGAAUAUCUUUGGUUGAUACAGAUGUAAAACAAAAAUUUAUUGCUUUUUUCCAGGAGUGAGAGAAGAGUCUCGAAGAAGUCCUCUGAUCCAUUUUAUUAUGGUACUGUGCUCUGUCUCGACCAGGGCAUAGGAGACAGUGAGGACAGCAGCCACGACUUACCAAACCACACUAGUUCUUGACAACGAGGGUAAGAAUCCCCUGGAACAGGCUGGGGCGUGGAGAAGCUUGUUAAAACUGCACCUUCCGGCUGCUCUAACGACAGGCACUCUGAGCAGGAAGGUUGGA